UACGUAGGGUGCAAGCGUUAAUCGGAAUUACUGGGCGUAAAGCGUGCGCAGGCGGCCAUGUAAGACAGAUGUGAAAUCCCCGGGCUCAACCUGGGAACUGCAUUUGUGACUGCAUGGCUGGAGUGCGGCAGAGGGGGAUGGAAUUCCGCGUGUAGCAGUGAAAUGCGUAGAUAUGCGGAGGAACACCGAUGGCGAAGGCAAUCCCUGGGCCUGCACUGACGCUCAUGCACGAAGCGUGGGAGCAACAGG
rnacentral:rRNA from 1 species